AUUCCUACGGGACGCAGCAGUGAGGAAUAUUGGUCAAUGGCCGGAAGGCUGAACCAGCCAAGUCGCGUGAGGGAAUAAGGCCCUAUGGGUUGUAAACCUCUUUUGUCGGGGAGCAAAAGCCGGACGUGUCCGGCUGUGAGAGUACCCGAAGAAAAAGCAUCGGCUAACUCCGUGCCAGCAGCCGCGGUAAUACGGAGGAUGCGAGCGUUAUCCGGAUUUAUUGGGUUUAAAGGGUGCGCAGGCGGAUUUUUAAGUCAGCGGUCAAAUCGUGGGGCUCAACCCCAUCCAGCCGUUGAAACUGGGGU
rnacentral:rRNA from 1 species